UACGUAGGUGGCAAGCGUUGUCCGGAAUUAUUGGGCGUAAAGAGCGUGUAGGCGGCCAGAUAAGUCCGCUGUGAAAUCUCGAGGCUCAACUUCGAGCUGUCGGUGGAAACUAUCUGGCUAGAGUCCGGAAGAGGAGAAUGGAAUUCCUGGUGUAGCGGUGAAAUGCGCAGAUAUCAGGAAGAACACCCGUGGCGAAGGCGGUUCUCUGGGACGGUACUGACGCUGAGACGCGAAAGCGUGGGGAGCGAACAGG
rnacentral:rRNA from 1 species